AACGAACGCUGGCGGCAUGCCUAACACAUGCAAGUCGAACGAGACCUUCGGGUCUAGUUGCGCACGGGUGCGUAACGCGUGGGAACCUGCCCUUAGGUUCGGAAUAACUCCCCGAAAGGGGUGCUAAUACCGGAUAAUGUCUUCGGACCAAAGAUUUAUCGCCUUUGGAUGGGCCCGCGUUGGAUUAGCUAGUUGGUAGGGUAAAAGCCUACCAAGGCGACGAUCCAUAGCUGGUCUGAGAGGAUGAUCAGCCACACUGGGACUGAGACACGGCACAGACUCCUACGGGAGGCAGCAGUGGGGAAUAGUGGACAAUGGGCGAAAGCCUGAUCCAGCAGUGCCGCGUGAGUGAUGAAGGCCUUAGGGUUGUAAAGCUCUUUUACCCGGGAUGAUAAUGACAGUACCGGGAGAAUAAGCUCCGGCUAACUCCGUG
rnacentral:rRNA from 1 species